GAUGAACGCUGGCGGCGUGCUUAACACAUGCAAGUCGAACGGUGAAGCAGGAGCUUGCUCUUGUGGAUCAGUGGCGAACGGGUGAGUAACACGUGAGCAACCUGCCCCUGACUCUGGGAUAAGCGCUGGAAACGGCGUCAAAUACUGGAUAUGUGAUGUGACCGCAUGGUCUGCAUCUGGAAAGAAUUUCGGUUGGGGAUGGGCUCGCGGCCUAUCAGCUUGUUGGUGAGGUAAUGGCUCACCAAGGCGUCGACGGGUAGCCGGCCUGAGAGGGUGACCGGCCACACUGGGACUGAGACACGGCCCAGACUCCUACGGGAGGCAGCAGUGGGGAACAUUGCACAAUGGGCGGAAGCCUGAUGCAGCAACGCCGCGUGAGGGAUGACGGCCUUCGGGUUGUAAACCUCUUUUAGCAGGGAAGAAGCGAAAGUGACGGUACCUGCAGAAAAAGCACCGGCUAACUACGUGCCAGCCGCCGCGGUAA
rnacentral:rRNA from 1 species